ACGAACGCUGGCGGCGUGCCUAAUACAUGCAAGUUGAGCGCUGAAGGUUGGUACUUGUACCGACUGGAUGAGCAGCGAACGGGUGAGUAACGCGUGGGGAAUCUGCCUUUGAGCGGGGGACAACAUUUGGAAACGAAUGCUAAUACCGCAUAAAAACUUUAAACACAAGUUUUAAGUUUGAAAGAUGCAAUUGCAUCACUCAAAGAUGAUUCCGCGUUGUAUUAGCUAGUUGGUGAGGUAAAGGCUCACCAAGGCGAUGAUACAUAGCCGACCUGAGAGGGUGAUCGGCCACAGUGGGACUGAGACACGGCCCAAACUACUACGGGAGGCAGCAGUAGGGAAUCUUCGGCAAUGGACGAAAGUCUGACCGAGUAACGCCGCGUGAGUGAAGAAGGGUUUCGGAUCGUAAAACUCUGUUGGUAGAGAAGAACGGUGGUGAGAGUGGAAAGCUCAUCAAGUGACGGUAACUACCCAGAAAGGGACGGCUAACUACGUG
rnacentral:rRNA from 1 species